UAUACAUGCAAGUCGAGCGGACAGAUGAGGAGCUUGCUCCCUGAUGUUAGCGGCGGACGGGUGAGUAACACGUGGGUAACCUGCCUGUAAGACUGGGAUAACUCCGGGAAACCGGGGCUAAUACCGGAUGGUUGUUUGAACCGCAUGGUUCAGACAUAAAAGGUGGCUUCGGCUACCACUUACAGAUGGACCCGCGGCGCAUUAGCUAGUUGGUGAGGUAACGGCUCACCAAGGCGACGAUGCGUAUCCGACCUGAGAGGGUGAUCGGCCACACUGGGACUGAGACACGGCCCAGACUCCUACGGGAGGCAGCAGUAGGGAAUCUUCCGCAAUGGACGAAAGUCUGACGGAGCAACGCCGCGUGAGUGAUGAAGGUUUUCGGAUCGUAAAGCUCUGUUGUUAGGGAAGAACAAGUGCCGUUCAAAUAGGGCGGCACCUUGACGGUACCUAACCAUAUAGCCACGGCUAACUACGUGCCAGCAGCCGCGGUAAUACGUAGGUGGCAAGCGUUGUCCGGAAUUAUUGGGCGUAAAGGGCUCGCAGGCGGUUUCUUAAGUCUGAUGUGAAAGCCCCCGGCUCAACCGGGGAGGGUCAUUGGAAACUGGGGAACUUGAGUGCAGAAGAGGAGAGUGGAAUUCCACGUGUAGCGGUGAAAUGCGUAGAGAUGUGGAGGAACACCAGUGGCGAACGCGACUCUCUGGUCUGUAACUGACGCUGAGGAGCGAAAGCGUGGGGAGCGAACAGGAUUAGAUACCCUGGUAGUCCACGCCGUAAACGAUGAGUGCUAAGUGUUAGGGGGUUUCCGCCCCUUAGUGCUGCAGCUAACGCAUUAAGCACUCCGCCUGGGGAGUACGGUCGCAAGACUGAAACUCAAAGGAAUUGACGGGGGCCCGCACAAGCGGUGGAGCAUGUGGUUUAGUUCGAAGCAGCGCGCAGAACCUUACCAGGUCUUGACAUCCUCUGACAAUCCUAGAGAUAGGACGUCCCCUUCGGGGGCAGAGUGACAGGUGGUGCAUGGUUGUCGUCAGCUCGUGUCGUGAGAUGUUGGGUUCAGUCCCGCAACGAGCUCAACCCUUGAUCUUACUUGCCAACUUUCAGUGGGCCACUCUAAGGUGACUGCCGGUGACAAACCGGAGGAAGGUGGGGAUGACGUCAAAUCAUCAUGCCCCUUAUGACCUGGGCUACACACGUGCUACAAUGGACAGAACAAAGGGCAGCGAAACCGCGAGGUUAAGCCAAUCCCACAAAUCUGUUCUCAGUUCGGAUCGCAGUCUGCAACUCGACUGCGUGAAGCUGGAAUCGCUAGUAAUCGCGGAUCAGCAUGCCGCGGUGAAUACGUUCCCGGGCCUUGUACACACCGCCCGUCACACCACGAGAGUUUGUAACACCCGAAGUCGGUGAGGUAACCUUUAGGAGCCAGCCGCGAAGUGACAAA
rnacentral:rRNA from 1 species